ACGGAAGGCAGCAGUGAGGAAUAUUGGUCAAUGGCCGGAAGGCUGAACCAGCCAAGUAGCGUGAGGGAUGACCGCCCUAUGGGUCGUAAACCUCUUUUGACAGGGAAUAAAGUGAGGCACGUGUGCCUUUUCGCAUGUACCUGUCGAAUAAGCAUCGGCUAACUCCGUGCCAGCAGCCGCGGUAAUACGGAGGAUGCGAGCGUUAUCCGGAUUUAUUGGGUUUAAAGGGAGCGUAGGCGGAAGGUCAAGUCAGCUGUGAAAUGUAGUCGCUCAACGUCUGCACUGCAGUUGAAACUGGCCUCCUUGAGUGCGUAAGAGGCGGGCGGAAUUCGUCGUGUAGCGGUGAAAUGCUUAGAUAUGUCACAGAACCCCGAUUGCGAAGGCAGCUUACCAGCAUACAACUGACGCUGAGGCACGAAAGCGUGGGUAUCAAACAGGAUUAGAUACCCUGGUA
rnacentral:rRNA from 1 species